rnacentral:lncRNA from 1 species
UUUUUAUGAGAAAAUAGCACUAAAAGAUGAUUCUCAGUUUUCUUUUAUUUUCCAAAAAGAAAAGAAUUAUACAAAUAAAUCAAGAACUCAAUUUAGAAUAGUAUAUCACACAUUUAUCCUUUUAUUCAAUACAAGCACCAACAGGGAUUUCAUUCUAAAAUUGUCUUUUAGGUUUCAGUUCAUUCUUACCAAAUAUAAUUUGCGAUUGGAACACAAUGACAGUUUUUUUCCUAAUAAUAUGACACUAGAAAUAUUUGCUUUAGCAUAAUAUGCAGAUAACUAUAGUUUAAUGAAUCCAAGUUUCUGUCAUGAUUUUUCCAGAUCAUUACAAGCAUUGAUUGUAACAUACAAAAUCAUCUCGUCUUCAUCACUGUAUAGAUGUGUGCAAAUGUAUUUGUUAUUUUUUUAACAAAUGUUUCUUUGUAUACCCAGAACACUAUGAAUAAAUCUGAAUUUUUACCAUACUUUUUUUAAAAUUUUCACAAGUAUAAAGGAGUAGGUUCAGUAAGACCCCUUUUUGGGCCAAAAUAUAGAAGUUUUACAAAAUUGUGAAAAUGUAAUCUUUAGCUAUUUACUGGAAAGUACAAUGCUUCUGCUACAUAAAUAUGGGCUGUUUUUGACAAUACAAUGCAAAUAUAUCGGAUAAUAGCAUCAUUAAGUCAUGCUAAAUAACUGAAAUCUUCACAAUUUGAGCAUUUUAGUUAAAUUUUAGACGGUUUCCCGCUAAAAUGAAAGUGGCCACAUUCGUGUUCAUUCAUAAUAUUGAAAUGUAAGUUGUAUUUAAUGAUAAUACAAAACAUAUAUAAAGGUUGAGGAUGAACACGGAUGCGGCCACUUUCAUUUUUGACAAAAAACAUCUGAAAAGUGACGUUUUUUUGUCAUAUUUGAUAGAUUUUUCAUAUUUAAGCUUGAAUCAGAGCGUUUUUAAUGACUCAAUCAGUUAAAAUCUUGUACAUAGAGUAAUUGAAUCAAUUUAAAUAGACAUUUAAGUGUUUAAAAAAGUGUCCAUAAUCUUUCGUUAGAUGAACCUGAAAUUUGAGGCCAAAAUAGGCCCUUACCGGACCUACUCCUUUAGAAAAUGUGAAUUAUUUUAUAACAGCAUUAACAAUUGUCUUUUCUGCCUUACUCUAUGCUUCAAUACAAGCACAGAACAGUAAAAAUAAUACAUUAUCAAUAAUAAUAUGUACAUAAAAUAGACUGAAAACGGUCAUUCAUCAAUUCAGAGGCUCCUUACUUGGAACAUACUGAAAAAUGUUGCUGGUUAAACAUGUUUCAUGAGAUUUCAACCCUCCCCCUAUACCUCUAGCCAAUAAUAUGAACAAACACACAGCUAUACAAAAAGUAAAACUUAAAAAAAGAUCUGAGUUUGAUGUCAGAACAGAUAACAAAAAUAACCUUAUUUUGUUUUUUGCAAUGGCUUCAAUUUUGUCCUAUUUUGCAGCUAUCAUUGUGAACAAAAUCACAGUUCAAAAUUAAACUUUUUUUCAUACUUUUAAUAAAGAUACAUGUAAAGUGAACCAAUCUGAAUGAAUUUAACUUAAAAAAAAACUAUAGAAAGUUUUAUCAUAUUUUAAUGCUUUUUCAUGUUUCAGUUAACUUGCUAUCAAUUUUGUCAAUUUGUUAUUUUUCUCUGAUUUAUGAACAAAA